AAGUGGUAGUUGAGGAUAGUCAUUUCCGACUGACAUGUGUCAACAUGAUUUGAAUUAGCAAGUCAGUUCCUAAGGGCUGAGAUUGCAUUUUUUUUAUUUGGCUGUAUUUGUGUCUGGUAGGUCCAACAUGGUUCCUCUAUCAGAGCGAGGCCUUUAUGCUCUAUCUUUACAAUACUUUCUACGUUCAUGAAACAGUAUCCCCACCUUUGUUACCAUUGCACGUCUUGAUUUCAAUCAAACUCACGACCGAAUCAUUUGUCUAAAAGCUACAUUAUUUUGAAAUUGCCUCUUUUGCAAACACUGAUAACUAUUAGACCAUGCUUAGGUACUCUGACAGUUCAUUAUUAUGUUUAAUACUACCUUCUACGGUUUCCAUCAAUCAAUGUUAAUGGUUCCUAUGAAAAAACAAGAGACAUCGCAA
rnacentral:sRNA from 2 species